rnacentral:pre_miRNA from 1 species
UGUUAGAAAUUUCAUCCAUUUCUACAGUUAAGAAUUGGUCUGGCUGAUGAAAUAAUCAAAUAGUUACACGUGUUGUACCACGUGUGCCUUAUGCUUACAUAUAGAGACCAACUUUUAACAAAAAAAUGGAUAAAAUUGACC